rnacentral:rRNA from 1 species
GGGCGUCUCUUUCUCGUUACGAGUGGAGGCGCACCUGUAGCGCACUCGCUGAUACCCGAAAGAUGGUGAACUAUGCCUGGCCAGGACGAAGCCAGGGGAAACCCUGGUGGAGGUCCGCAGCGAUUCUGACGUGCAAAUCGAUCGUCGGAGCUGGGUAUAGGGGCGAAAGACCAAUCGAACCAUCUAGUAGCUGGUUCCCUCUGAAGUUUCCCUCAGGAUAGCUUGCGCUCGGUUGAGACGAGUCUCAUCCGGUAGAGCGAAUGAUUAGAGGCCUUGGGGUCGAAACGACCUCAACCUAUUCUCAAACUCCAAAUAGAUGAGAUCCCCGGCUUGCUUGAAAGUGAAGCCGCGGGAAUCGGAUCAGAGUGCAAAGUGGGCCAAUUUU